rnacentral:snRNA from 1 species
GGAUCUCAUGAAGGAGGUC